rnacentral:rRNA from 1 species
UACGAAGGGUGCAAGCGUUACUCGGAAUUACUGGGCGUAAAGGGCGCGUAGGUGGCUUCUUAAGCGUGCGGUGAAAGCCUGGGGCUCAACCCCGGGUCGGCCGUGCGAACUGGGGGGCUGGAGCACUGUAGAGGCAGGCGGAAUUCCGGGUGUAGCGGUGGAAUGCGUAGAGAUCCGGAAGAACACCGGUGGCGAAGGCGGCCUGCUGGGCAGUUGCUGACACUGAGGCGCGACAGCGUGGGGAGCAAACAGG